rnacentral:lncRNA from 1 species
AAAAUGCUAAAAAAGGGGUUAAAUCGAAGUAAAAGCACGAUAUACGGGGCGAAAUCGAAAUAAAAAAAAAGAUAAAAGGGACUAAAUUGUGAUGCGCUGAGAGAGAGGGGACCAAAACUGCAAAUAAUCCAUAGCACCAAAACGCAGGGUUGAAAUGGACCAAAUUGAAGCAAAAACAAAAUUACGGGGCAAAAUUAAAAAUAAAAGAAAAUAAUGAAAAAGGGGCAAAUUGUAACGCGUCGCAAAUAGAGGGGACUAAGCACGCAAAUAUCUCCCUUUUAGAAAACAC